rnacentral:rRNA from 1 species
CUAGUGUGAAUUGCAGAAUUCCGCGAAUCAUCGAGUUUUUGAACGCAAGUUGCGCCCGAGGCUCGUACCAAGGGCAUGUCUGUUUGAGCGUCCA